CAUUUUUUGUAUCUGUCACUCAAGUAAAGAUUUUUAUUAAAAUUGUAAUAAUUUAAAAUUCAGACUGCGCAUUAACACGCUCUAUCAGGAUGGGAGGCUAUUCAACAUCAUUGUUCUGUCCGGAAGACAGCUUAUACUGAUACCUCUGGUAGUUUAAAGUAAGGCUGAUUAUAUAAACGAUUUUUGUGAACUUGUCAUCGCUAUGAUGACUGGUAAACCGAUAUUGCCUUAUUCACAGCGUAAGAAUCCGUCCAGAUGACACUAUCUCCUUCCGGCUUUAACCCUGUGGAUUAAGGCCGGCAUUUUAUU
rnacentral:sRNA from 1 species